UGCUCCCACUAGCUUUGACAUGUACUCAGAAAUCAGCUGGACUUCUAGAAAUCAAUACUAUAUUGACUUUCUUACCAAAGUUCAGAUUUCUGAUACUAGAUUUCUUUGAUAAAACUUUAUCAAUAUCAUACACCUUAUCUUAGAUAGCCCACAUGUGUGUCUAAACAAUUUUAAGAAAUAUGAAAAGGGAUGUAGUAAUCAUAGUCUCGAUUGUUUAGACCUUUGCCACUUCUCACAAGUCCAUGUUAGUGUGCCGGUUAACCACUCACGCUCCACUAACGAAUUUGAGAAUGCAAAUAUCACAAUUACUGAUCUUCGUAAAAUCUACUUAGUGAAAGCGUUUCCUCACCAUCAUUUUCAUGAAUCGGAGAGAAACCUUAUGACACUUAGAUUUAUAUGGUGUAUGAGUUCCUACCCAUAUGAAUUUGUCAAACCAUAAUCACAAGACAAAGAUAAUGACAAAUCCAAAACCAUAUGGAUUGAACUCAAUCUUAACUUCUUGCCACCUGGCAGCUCAAGGGCCUGCCAUUGCUUCCAAGUUGUUAUGCAACAAACUGAGAACUCUAAGAACUCAUAUGCAAAGCCAACUUUAACUGGAAUGGGCACAGAUAUGUCAACACGAUAGGUUAUAAACCUCAAGUCGUGUGCUAGUGAAGAACUUUAGGUUUUAUUCUUGAUUAUUUCUUGAGACUUUCAAGACCUUUAAGACUCCCACUGUCCUCUUGACAUAUAAGACUCCCUUGUCAAACAUCCAAGAGAUAGUGCGGAUUCUAAUCAAGAAAAACACUUUACCCAAUUGGCCUAAGUUGGUCUUUGUUUUAUCCAAAACAUCACAACUUACCAAUUUCAAAUGUACAAGAGUAGAAAACUUUUACUCUUACAUUUGACAAGUGUUUUAAACCUUCUUUAAGACAUGUCACUCAAAUGACAAUCUUGGAGUAUGACUCUAAGACUUGUAUUGGAACGAAGUAUGACUCAUCUUCUUGAUUUAACCAUUUCAACAAUUCAAGUUCCUCUUCUUAGUCAUAAGAAUGCACUAAGAUUUCCUUAGAGAACUAAUUUUGAUAUGGUUUCUUAAUCAUUAAGAUGAUCACAAAACUGAUACUAAAGUACUCUCCCAUCUUUUCAGAUUUGAGAAACUUUUAUCCUUCUGCCUUAUUUGAUUCUUCUUAUCGAUCUUUAGUGGUGGACUUAAUCAGUGCACAAGAAUGUGUACUCGAUCCCUAAGUCCUUUACUUGACUCACACAUCCAUGUGAACAAGUAAUUAGUCUUAAUUUUCCAAAACUUGAAAGUUCUCAUUCAUCAUGCUAUACAACUUGCAUGAUUCCAAGUUCCGGUCCAAUUGAAACUUGGGUGAUGAGAAUCUUUCCUUAUUUGGUAAAUUUAGACAUUACCACAAAUGAAAGAAUCAAUUUCAUAUUUCCACUCUUGCUCUUAAUGGAAUCAUAUAAGCAACAAUUUUUCCUCAAAUGCCAUUGUAAGGAUAUUUUAAAAUAAAUAAAAUCAAAAAAAUUUUCUUUUAUUUUAAAACUUUGCGGAAAAACUUAUCCUUACAAUCCAUAUGAAAACUUGUUGUUAUCUAUUCCUAAGCAAUAUCUCAUAACUCCUAAGAAGUAGCUCAAGAAUCCGAUCUUCAAACUAUGCGAUAGAAAUCCAUCUACGCCAUCAGAUUCAGCAUAUUCUUUCUUUAAGUUUCUUCACUUUUCUUUGAUUCUUAAAACAUCACCAUGUGACCCAGUCACAUCAUGUAUCAAGAAUCUCAGAAUAGAAACUUAACAGAGUUAGAUAGUGGACUUUACCUGAAGUAGAGUCAAACUUAUUGACUUUAACAUCCUUAGGUAAAUUUGGCAGCUUCGCAACCAAUGCCCCUUCCUUUGGCAAUAUAAACAUAUGGACCCUUUGAUAAUGGUACACGGGACUAUCACAGACUUAGCUUUUCUCUUUACCAUUUGGUCAACCGAGUUGACUAUGGCCGAUCCCUUUCCAUUGGGAAGAGAAUGCUUUACUGGAUAUCCAAUGUCAUCAUUGUCAAUGUCCAUAAAGUUUUAGGAAGUUGAUCUUAGCAAAUAGAUAAGAUCAUUAAGGGUCUUGUCAUAGUCUGUUUCAUAGGUGUCCCAAAGGAACUCACUAUGUGACUUAGAAAGUGGUUGAACCACCAACUUUCUCAAGACUUUGACACCCAACUCUCCCGGCUUGUCAAUAUGUGACUACAUCUCCAAGAUGUGACCACACCUAGACCUUGCCUUGCCAAUAGGGCCUGAGUGACCUUAAACUUUUCAAGAACUUGUGGGUUAGGGAGAAUAAUUUGAAGAGGUGAAGAAGUAUGAUAUCCAUGGGACAUCAUCUUCAUUAGGAAACCUUGUUUCAAGAGAUUUGGGAAGAUCAUAGGUGUCUAAACCAGACAUCUUUUGGGAGAUAUUCAAGAUAGUUGAUUUAAAGUCCUUAAUAUGACACCCAAUAUGAAAUAUUAAGGCUAGGACCCAACAAACUAUUUUAUAACUUAGAAGAGGUAUGCCGUAAUCCAAGCUAUAAAAUAUUUGAAGGUAGGUGAAUGACGAUUCACCAAUUUCCACCAAGAUAAACGAAAUGUAUUAUUAGGUUUUAAUUGGUUUUGAAACUCCUAGAUCUUUGAGAUUCAUUGAACUUUUCAAAGGCAUGUUUCAAUCUCGAGUGUGCCCUUCAGGUUUUGUGACUGGGAUGCCGAGGAUCACAAAACAAGGUGUGAAGUAACCAUGCAAAUCACUUGGUACCCUUAAUAAAUUACCCCUCAAUCGAUGUGCCGGUUAACCACACACGCUCCAUCGAUACUAUGAUAAAUAUUAAGUCACCCUUUACCUACCUUGUUAAGUCCAAGUUAGUGUGCCGGUUAACCACACACGCUCCACUAACGACUUAGACAAAGUGUAAAGUGUAAUUUCAUGGAUUAGCACCUUAUUCACAUUUUUCCUAAGUAACUAAGAUUGGGUAUUAUUAAGAGUUUAGUUACUUAGUAUUAUCAUUAAUACUUUUAAUGAAGGGAGAAUUCUAGUCCUGUCAAACCCGUUCGGCUAACGACCCUCCACCAGUCAAGCAAGCGGUGGGUGAGAGUGGACACCCAUUAAGUUGCCAUUUUAUAGGCAACAACCUUAUACCCACCUUAUAGACCGGCUUCGUGAAUGAGGCGUACUAGCGGUAAGACUGACUUUACUCUUAUACAUAUAUAUAUUAUUAACUUAUAAUAUUAUAAAGUAUAAGGGUUGAAUUUUAACUUUUAAAAUUCUAAGGGCUAACUUGGAAUUAAAGUAUUCAUACUUGAAAACUUUUCAAAUUCCAAAACUUGAGGGCAAGUUUUGAAACUAUUCAAAACUAAUUAAUUCCAUAACUUAUGUGUUUAAAGUAGUUUUAAUCCAAAAACUCUUCAAGUUCCAUAACUUGAGGACAAGUUAUGGAAGACUUUAAACUAAUAAAAGAACUAACUUUUUCUUUAUUUUAUAACUUAUGGAUUUAAUUAUGGUUACAUAUUUUUCUUUAAUGAAGUGACUCUUGAACUUCCAUAACUUGAGGACAAGUUAUGGAGUCAAAAAAAAUUAUUCAAUGACACAAGACUCUUCAUUUUGUAACCAUUGCCAACUUUUAUGAGUUUUAUGAGUCUUUAAUGUGACUCUUCAUGUAACUUGAGGACAAGUUACACAAACACAUUUUAUACUCAACUCUUAGAUUAAAAUGGAUUGAAAACAACUAUUUCACUCAACAUUUCUAUUAAUCUAAGCAACUCAUAAGAACAAGAUAAUUCAAAUCAAACUUUUUCAUGUAAUUAGUCUAAACCUUAAACUAAUACAAAACAUGAAUCUAUUGACAAUUAUCUUUGAAAAUGGAUUAGCAUGAACAUUACCACAUCAAAAACAAGUUUAUAAGUUCAAAAACAACUUAGGGUAAUGUUCCUAGUCCAUUUCUAGCCAAAAAACUCGAAAAUAUGCUGUCUGGGGGUCCAACUCGUCGAGUGCAUGAACAAACUCGGCGAGUUGGAUCGAAUUCAUCACUUUUUAGGCAUGGACUCGUCGAGUCUCCUGAUGGACUCGCCGAGUCUGAUGGCCAGACAGCACCAGAUUCGUUUUUUCAGCUUCUAUUGCAGGUAUAACAAGAAAACAAGCCUAGGCUCUGAUACCACUGUUGGGUUUUGAGCAUUCUAACACUCCUAAGUGUACAUGCAACCCUAAAUACCUUGGAUCUAUGUUUUCUCUAUUAUACAUGCAAAUAAGAACUUCCAAGGUAUUAUCCUAAUCUAGCAUACAAAACAAUGACUAUAACAAGAUAGAAUACAUACCUCUUUGAUGUAGAAAGUCUUCAUGAAGCUUGAGUGCCUAGUGCCCCAAGUGUGACACCUCAAAUGGAAUCACAAUCAUCAAAACACUUGGAAUGACUUGAGAGAAUUCUACACUCUUCAAAAUCGGCUAGCCCUUUCUUCACUAUCACUAGUGGCCGAUUUUUCCUCAAUAAUAAGAUGCUUAUAUAGUUACACAAUUAGGGUAAACUCUUAAUUGUCAUGGCUUUCCAUUUCCUUGGAUCCAUGGGUACAAAUACACCAUGGAGCAUCCAUGGACCAUCCUAUGGGUUUUAGCCCAACUUGAUUAUCCAUGGAGCAUUAGCCCACUAUACAAGUAUGGAUGAUUUACACAAUCAACCCAUAUAUUUAAUUAGUCUUCUUUUGAUCACUUAAUUAAUCCUAGAUUAAUUCUUGAUCAAUACUAAUUAAAUAAUCUUAUUAUUCUUAUUAUUAAUAUACUAGAACUUAUAAUAUAUUAAUAACCAUAAGUGUCUUAUUUCUCUCAUUAUAGUCUAUCCAAGUGCAUGAUGGUAUGCAACCCAAAUGGACCAUGCCGGGUCGGGUCAAGUCUUACCAAUUAUAGUUAUGGACUUAGACAUUAAUCCAACAGUCUCCCACUUGGAUAAGUCUAAAACUAUUAUUGCGUAUGACUUCAGGAACCAACUGGCAAUCGUAGCUCUCAAAAGCUUCUGUCGAACUCUGACCUUGUAGAUGAACUCUGACCUUUGUCAAUGACUUGUCCAUUAGAUAAGGGAUCAUAUAUUCCUCCAUUCUAGAUAUCAUAUGGACUGAGACAUGGAUUAUAAUCAUUCUCUCUGUCCAUUUGUUGUUUCCCGAUUUCCGAUUUAUGACGACUGACUAAUUGAACAAAUCAAAUCAGUCCUGGCCCGGCCGAGCACUUCCAUUUGUCAUCAUCAAAUCAUCGAGGGGCCCACAGAUAUCGCUUUUAUCCCGAAGGUAAAAGGAACGGAUAAACUUCGACUCAUAUGGCUUGUUCUACUACUUGUUGAAUCAUACACAAAGGCACGUUUUAUAGCACCGAGUUACCAAAUGCGUUUUCGUGCAAUCAAUGUACUAUCAACUCAUAGUAACAACUCAUAUCUCUAGGUUUGAAGAAUAUAAGAUAUUAUCGUCUCAUGAUCACUCGUGAUAAAAUCCAUGAAGUGAUUCCAAUGAGCGCGGGUUGAAUCCAAUACUCAGAACUUAUGAGCACUCAUGAGUGUUGUAGCCCUUUGUCCAACACCUUAGACCUCUACAAGCCAACCCAUGACAGUCUUAAUUCAUAUCUACUUCCAACAUAUGACCGACUGUGGAUGGUUUGAAUAACUUAGUCAUUCCGGAAGAAUAACCCAGUUUAUUCGGGAAGUCAAAACAUGCAAAAUGAAACACAAUAAUAAUUGAAUCCAAUAUGGUAUCAACCCUUUGAACAUAAAUAAAACACCUUUUAUUUAUCACCAUAUGAUUACACAUUAUUCAUUGUAUACUGUUUCAGCUAUCAACUUUAUUCUUGAAUUUAAAACAAUAGUUGUCCCAUGCUCCAAGCAUGUACACUAUGUUUUCUUAAACACUAGUCAUGCCACACACCAAGUAUGCAUACUAUGUUUGUCUAUGAUCUUUACUUUGUGAACUAGAUCAAUUGAACAUAACUUCAAUGAUUCUCUUUUCACACUCCCAAAUCCUUACUGCAAAUGCAAGAAUUCCAAAUUCAUGCCAUUUACUGAAAUCUGUUAGAUUCUAAACUUAUAUGCAUUGAUCCUCUUGUAAUGAUUAUGCACAAAGUCACAAAGACUUGGCAACAAUCAUUACAGAGUAUUCCAAAGGAGAUCAACUCCUUGGAAAUAUCCUUCUUGCAUUAAGUUUCCUUAAUCUUACACAGAUUGAAAAUUCUAACUUUGAAACAUUUCCAGAUUCCAUUUUGACUAUCACUUCUGAACAAGAGUUGCCUCCUUACAGAUUAUGUCAAUAUGGUCCUUCCAGAAUUAUCACUAUACUUCCAAUUGUCCUUGAGCAACCAAUCUUUGGUAAACCUUAGAUUGUCCUCGACAAUUGUUUAAUCCUUUUAGUCAUAUCCAGUUCUAAACCUUUUCCCUUCUUAAUGCCCCAGGCAUUUGGAAAAUUUUAGAACGGAUGAAUAUAGCACAUGUAAUCGAUCCUAUAUCCGAAGCAUAUGGGACACGAUUCAUGAUGUCUCACAUAAAGACUAAACCAGUCUUUUGCUAUAAUAUUUCCAUUUCAAUUUGCCAAGUUCUCAUAAUUCAGAUUAUGAAAAGGGAUGCCGUAAUCAUAAUCGAAUUUUAGAACGCAAAUAAUGGACCCAUAUACAGAAUUUCCUUAUGUUGAGCCAUUCCAACAUGAAAUUCAUAUAUAUCCUUGACUAAAUGAUUAAAACCUCACGAUCUAAGCUUAUAGAUUUGAGAUGAAGCAUAAUUUCCUCUCCCUUAAUUAUAGCAAAACAACUUUUUCCCAAUUGAAACUUUUGUUUUCUAUAAUUAACAUUGCUAACUUGCAAUACUUAUCAUAAUUAUCAUGCUCCCACUAACAUGAUGAUUAUUAGCAUAACACUUAUGCUCCCACUAGCUUUGACAUGUACUCAGAAAUCAGCUGGACUUCUAGAAAUCAAUACUUCAUUGACUUUCUUACCAAAGUUCAGAUUUCUGAUACUAGAUUGUUUUGAUAAAACUUUAUCAAAAUCAUACACCUUCCCUUAGAUAGCACACUUGUGUGUCUAAACAAUUAUGAAGAGGUAUGCCGUAAUCAUAAUGGUUAGACCUUUUUGCCACUUCUCACAAGUCCAGGUUAGUGUGCCGGUAAACCACACGCGCUCCACUAACGACUUUGAGAAUGCAAAUAUCACAAUUGCUAUCUAGCUAAAAUCUACUUAGUGAAAGUGUUUCCUCACCAUCAUUUUCAUGAAUCGGAGAGAAACCUUAUGACACUUAGAUUUAAUGGUGUAUGUGUUCUUA
rnacentral:lncRNA from 1 species